UUAAAUUGAAGAGUUUGAUCAUGGCUCAGAUUGAACGCUGGCGGCAGGCCUAACACAUGCAAGUCGAACGGUAACAGGAAGCAGCUUGCUGCUUCGCUGACGAGUGGCGGACGGGUGAGUAAUGUCUGGGAAACUGCCUGAUGGAGGGGGAUAACUACUGGAAACGGUAGCUAAUACCGCAUAAUGUCGCAAGACCAAAGAGGGGGACCUUCGGGCCUCUUGCCAUCGGAUGUGCCCAGAUGGGAUUAGCUAGUAGGUGGGGUAACGGCUCACCUAGGCGACGAUCCCUAGCUGGUCUGAGAGGAUGACCAGCCACACUGGAACUGAGACACGGUCCAGACUCCUACGGGAGGCAGCAGUGGGGAAUAUUGCACAAUGGGCGCAAGCCUGAUGCAGCCAUGCCGCGUGUAUGAAGAAGGCCUUCGGGUUGUAAAGUACUUUCAGCGGGGAGGAAGGGAGUAAAGUUAAUACCUUUGCUCAUUGACGUUACCCGCAGAAGAAGCACCGGCUAACUCCGUGCCAGCAGCCGCGGUAAUACGGAGGGUGCAAGCGUUAAUCGGAAUUACUGGGCGUAAAGCGCACGCAGGCGGUUUGUUAAGUCAGAUGUGAAAUCCCCGGGCUCAACCUGGGAACUGCAUCUGAUACUGGCAAGCUUGAGUCUCGUAGAGGGGGGUAGAAUUCCAGGUGUAGCGGUGAAAUGCGUAGAGAUCUGGAGGAAUA
rnacentral:rRNA from 1 species